rnacentral:rRNA from 1 species
UCAACAUGAGAGUUUGAUCCUGGCUCAGAACGAACGCUGGCGGCAGGCUUAACACAUGCAAGUCGAGCGCCCCUUAGGGGGAGCGGCAGACGGGUG